rnacentral:rRNA from 1 species
UACGAAGGGGGCUAGCGUUGUUCGGAUUUACUGGGCGUAAAUCGCACGUAGGCGGAUCGUUAAGUGAGGGGUGAAAUCCCAGGGCUCAACCCUGGAACUGCCUUUCAUACUGGCGAUCUAGAGUCCGGAAGAGGUGAGUGGAACUCCUAGUGUAGAGGUGGAAUUCGUAGAUAUCGAGAGGAACACCGGUGGCGAAGGCGGCCUUCUGGACAGCAACUGACGCUGAGACGCGAAAGCGUGGGGAGCAAACAGG